CGCAGUUGCUCGUGAAGCCGGCCAGCUUUCUUACCCAUGCACACGUUCAACCCAACAACUUAGAGAAAAUUAAAGUGUGCAGGGCGAGACAAAUAUUUUCUCUCCCAACAAUAGCUACGCUUGAAUUUCUUCACGAAAACCCCGAAUGACAUUCGGACGCAAGCGAAUUCAGAAACAGCACUACAACAAUCAGUUUCAUGAAGAUGAUCGCGAAAUGGUAUGCCCUUCAUGAUAUCGGGGCCGUGAAGGCACGCGGACUGCAUGAGGAACCAUUUUACACGACAGACGAUGAAAGGCUAUCUUGGGUGGAACUACAUUUCGUGUGCUGCCUUGAAUACCUCUAUGUGCAAGGCGGCCGGUCAAAGCGAAUAAUGAAAAAGACGUACGAAGCGACACUCCUCAAUACAGGAUCAACAGUGGCACUGAUUGAAUACCUUCUUUACCAUAUCAAGUAGGUGUUCACUUUUUUGUCGCCUCAGCUUCGCUUUUUUUAAUAAUGUGUUAUAUAGGUUACUUUCUAAAUUUCAGUUACCGCUAUGUCUUGACACGUGGCCUGAACAACGACCCCAUAUAGUAACUGUUUAGCUGCCUCCGGCAGUUUAACGGCGGCAACGACAGAGUGGCAGGACUGCUGUGUUCACUGUGGAGAAACUGCUCAAGGUUGACAUUCUUCAAGCAGCUAAGGGUCCAAACGCGCCACUUUCUUCCGAAAUGGAGGCACCCGUGCGGUUGUCCGUUCCAGAUGCUAACACAUGUACCCUACCAGCUACUGCUGAGCGUGUUACCACGGAGCUUUCCAGUGCCAUGCGAGUGGUGCAAUGCCCUGCUCCAAACAUCAGAAGCAACAGGAUCACUCAACGAUCUCAUCAGAAAGAUGGACAAUGGAGGCUUGGCGUACCCAUGAAUGGAAGUGGCCGGGCUUUGCAAGUUCUCCAGCAUCUUUGUUCUGCGCGUUAUAAAGGCAGACGACGUCAGUAAAAGCAGCAAGUUAUGCCACCUUCUGACGUCAGCCUUGCUUCCAUAUCUAACUCACUGUGGACAAUUCAUACGUGAAAGAAACGACCACGCUCACACUGAAGAGUCUUUCAAAGUAUUCUUCAAAAAGUUGCUGCGGCCUCUUAUAGCGAAUUGGGCUGGGAAUCCAAAUGCAACUGUAGAGCGAGUUUGGACGCUGUCGCAUAAACCUCUGUCAAGGAAGGAUUUCCGCCUGUGAAUUAGCUCUUCGGUAUUUACAAUAA